rnacentral:rRNA from 1 species
GACGAACCGUGCUAACGUUGUUCGGAAUCACUGGGCUUAAAGGGCGCGUAGGCGGGCCGCCCGGUCCGGGGUGAAAUCCCCCAGCUCAACUGGGGAAGUGCCUCGGAUACCGGCGGCCUCGAGGGAGGUAGGGGCGUGCGGAACUUCCGGUGGAGCGGUGAAAUGCGUAGAGAUCAGGAAGAACACCGGUGGCGAAAGCGCUCUGCUAGGCCGCAACUGACACUCAUGGACGAAAGCUAGGGGAGCGAAUGGG